rnacentral:rRNA from 1 species
AGAGUUUGAUCCUGGCUCAGGAUGAACGCUGGCGGCGUGCUUAACACAUGCAAGUCGAACGAUCCUUCGGGAUAGUGGCGGACGGGUGAGUAACGCGUGGGAAUCUGCCCUUAGGAGGGGGAUAACGGCUGGAAACGGCCGCUAAUACCCCAUAUGCCGAGAGGUGAAACGAAUUUCGCCUGAGGAUGAGCCCGCGUCUGAUUAGCUAGUUGGUGGGGUAAAGGCCUACCAAGGCGACGAUCAGUAGCUGGUCUGAGAGGAUGAUCAGCCACACUGGGACUGAGACACGGCCCAGACUCCUACGGGAGGCAGCAGUGGGGUAUUUUCCGCAAUGGGCGAAAGCCUGACGGAGCAACGCCGCGUGAGGGAUGAAGGCCUCUGGGCUGUAAACCUCUUUUCUCAAGGAAGAAGAACUGACGGUACUUGAGGAAUAAGCCACGGCUAAUUCCGUGCCAGCAGCCGCGGUAAUACGGGAGUGGCAAGCGUUAUCCGGAAUUAUUGGGCGUAAAGCGUCCGCAGGCGGCCUUGUAAGUCUGUUGUUAAAGCGUGGAGCUCAACUCCAUUUAAGCAAUGGAAACUACAAGGCUGGAGUGUGGUAGGGGCAGAGGGAAUUCCCGGUGUAGCGGUGAAAUGCGUAGAUAUCGGGAAGAACACCAGUGGCGAAGGCGCUCUGCUGGGCCAUAACUGACGCUCAUGGACGAAAGCCAGGGGAGCGAAAGGGAUUAGAUACCCCUGUAGUCCUGGCCGUAAACGAUGAACACUAGGUGUCGGGGGAAUCGACCCCCUCGGUGUCGUAGCCAACGCGUUAAGUGCUCCGCCUGGGGAGUACGCACGCAAGUGUGAAACUCAAAGGAAUUGACGGGGGCCCGCACAAGCGGUGGAGUAUGUGGUUUAAUUCGAUGCAACGCGAAGAACCUUACCAGGGUUUGACAUCCUGCGAAUCCCUUGGAAACGAGGGAGUGCCUUCGGGAGCGCAGUGACAGGUGGUGCAUGGCUGUCGUCAGCUCGUGUCUGAGAUGUUGGGUUAAGUCCCGCAACGAGCGCAACCCACGUCUUUAGUUGCCAGCAUUCAGUUGGGCACUCUAGAGAGACCGCCGGUGAUAAACCGGAGGAAGGUGUGGAUGACGUCAAGUCAUCAUGCCCCUUACAUCCUGGGCUACACACGUACUACAAUGCUACGGACAAAGGGCAGCAAGCUCGCGAGAGUUAGCAAAUCCCAUAAACCGUGGCUCAGUUCAGACCGUAGGCUGCAACUCGCCUACGUGAAGGAGGAAUCGCUAGUAAUCGCAGGUCAGCAUACUGCGGUGAAUACGUUCCCGGGCCUUGUACACACCGCCCGUCACACCAUGGAAGUUGGCCAUGCCCGAAGUCGUUACUCCAACCCUUGUGGAGGAGGACGCCGAAGGUGGGGCUGAUGACUGGGGUGAAGUCGUAACAAGGUA